AGCCACCAACGAGAUUCGAACUCGCGACCCCUGGUUUACAAGACCAGUGCUCUAACCUCUGAGCUAUAGUGGC
rnacentral:tRNA from 1 species